ACAAGUCGAGCAGAGACGAAAGUCGGGCUUAGUGAUCCGGUGGUACUGCGUGGAAAGGCCAUCGCUCAACGGAUAAAAGCUACCCUGGGGAUAACAGGCUAAUCUCUCCCAAGAGUUCAUAUCGACGGGGAGGUUUGGCACCUCGAUGUCGGCUCAUCACAUCCUGGAGCUGGAGUAGGUUCCAAGGGUUGGGCUGUUCGCCCAUUAAAGUGGUACGCGAGCUGGGUUCAAAACGUCGUGAGACAGUUUGGUUCAUAUCCAUCGCGGGCGCAAGAAGUUUGAGGGAGGCUGCUCCUAGUACGAGAGGACCGGAGUGGACGGAUCAACGGUGUACCAGUUGUCACGCCAGUGGCACGGCUGGAAAGCCGCAUCCGGAAAGGAUAAACGCUGAAAGCAUCUAAGCGUGAAGCCCGUCCCAAGAUGAGACUUCUCAUCAGCAAUGAGUAAGACCCCUUAAAGACGAUGAGGUUGAUAGGCUGUGAGUGGAAGAGCCGCGAGGCUUGGAGCGACGCAGUACUAAUAGGUCGAGGUCUUAACUUA
rnacentral:rRNA from 1 species